rnacentral:tRNA from 1 species
GUCGGCGGCGGGCCGCUUGGGCUCGGCCGGGCCGGUGUGCGCGGUCACCCGGGCCUUGGCCCGGGCGUCCGGCUCGGCGACCGGGCGCGGACCC